UGGGGUAGAGCUCAGUGGUAGAGCAUAUGCUUAGCAUGCACAAAGUCCUGGGUUCAGUCCCCAGUACCUCCA
rnacentral:tRNA from 1 species